rnacentral:ncRNA from 1 species
UUAAAGUUUUUUUAGCUUUAAAUUUUUGUUAAACUUUAUUUUAAAUGUAAAUUUUAGUAAUAAUAAUUUUAAAUUUAAAUAAUUAAAGAUUAAAUAAAAAUUUACAGUAAUUAGAUUUAAUAAUUUAGGAAAUUAAGAUUUAGUAAUUGUUUUUAGUAUAAACUAAAUUUGUGCCAGCAGUUGCGGUUAUACAAAUUAUACAAUAAAAAUUUAUUUGGUAUUAGUAAAUUAAAUAUUUGAAUUUAUAUAAGAAUUUAUUAAGUGAAAUUUUAAAUUUUUAUAAAUUUUUAUAAGUUGAUUAAGCUAUUAAAUUUUAUAUAAAACUAGGAUUAGAUACCCUAUUAUAAAAAAGUGAAUUUUAAUACUAAAUUAGUAUCAAUAUUUUGAAAAUUAAAAAUAUUGGCGGUAUUUUAGUCUAUUUAGAGGAACCUGUUCUAUAAAUGAUAUUCCACGAUUUAAUUUACUUAUUUUUUUAGUUUGUAUAUCGCCGUAGGUUGAAUAUUUUAAAUGAAUUUAAAUAUUCAAAAUUUUUAUUUAAAGUAAAUCAGGUCAAGAUAUAAUUUAUAAAUAAGUAGAAAUGGGUUACAAUAUUUCUAUUAUAUAAAUAGAUAUUUUAUUGUAAAUAAAAUUGAAAUUGGAUUUAAAAGUAAUUUUUUAUUAAUUUAAAAAAUGAUUUAAGCUCUAAAAUAUGUACAUAUUGCCCGUCGCUUUCACUUUAAAGUGAAAUAAGUCGUAACAUAGUAGAAGUACUGGAAAGUGUUUCUAGAAAAUC